GACGACCACUGGCGGCGUGCCUAAUACAUGCAAGUCGACCUUAGUGGCGAACGGGUGAGUAACACGUGGGUAACCUGCCCAUCAGAAGGGGAUAACACUUGGAAACAGGUGCUAAUACCGAAUACUGAUGGAUGGACCAGCGGUGCAUUAGCGAGUGGGUGAGGUAACGGCUCACCAGGGCCACGCUGCAUAGCCGACCUGAGAGGGUGAGUGGCCACAUUUGGACUGAGACACGGCCCAAACUCCUACGGGAGGCAGCAGUAGGGAAUAUUCGGAAAUGGACGAAAGUCUGACCGAGCAACGCCGCGUGAGGGAAGAAGGUUUACGGAUCGUAAAACUCUGUUGUUAGAGAAGCGGUAUCUAACCAGAAAGCCACGGCUAACUACGUGCCAGCAGCCGCGGUAAUAC
rnacentral:rRNA from 1 species